rnacentral:lncRNA from 1 species
GCCUUUUCUGAUAAAAGGGUUUAUACUCAUUUCAUAUUUUUUUCUUAUAAAAGUAUUUUUUAGGAUAAGUUUUGACAUUUGAACCCUUCAUAACCUUUGGUCCAUAGGUCUUGGGUUCCACUUUAUUUAGAACCUUUGACUUGGGAUUUUUAGGUUAUGGAUUCUUAAGAACCUUUGAUUUUUGAAUGUUAGGUUAUGAUUUCUUCAAUAUCUUUGAUUUUGACAUCUUAG